UAGUCCACGCCGUAAACGAUGGUUACUAGCUGUUCGGACUUCGGUCUGAGUGGCUAAGCGAAAGUGAUAAGUAACCCACCUGGGGAGUACGUUCGCAAGAAUGAAACUCAAAGGAAUUGACGGGGGCCCGCACAAGUGGUGGAGCAUGUGGUUUAAUUCGAUGAUACGCGAGGAACCUUACCAGGGCUUAAAUGUAGUCUGACAGCUUUAGAGAUAGAGUUUUCUUCGGACAGAUUACAAGGUGCUGCAUGGUUGUCGUCAGCUCGUGCCGUGAGGUGUCAGGUUAAGUCCUAUAACGAGCGCAACCCCUGUUGUUAGUUGCCAGCGAGUAAUGUCGGGAACUCUAGCAAGACUGCCGGUGCAAACCGCGAGGAAGGUGGGGAUGACGUCAAGUCAGCAUGCCCCUUAUGCCCUGGGCUACACACGUGCUACAAUGGACGAGACAAUGAGUUACAAAUCUGCGAAGAUAGGUUAAUCUAUAAACUCGUUCUAAGUUCGGAUUGUAGG
rnacentral:rRNA from 1 species